CCUACGGGUGACAGCAGUGAGGAAUAUUGGUCAAUGGACGAGAGUCUGAUCCAGCCAAGUAGCGUGAAGGAUGACUGCCCUAUGGGUUGUAAACUUCUUUUAUAAAGGAAUAAAACGAGGCACGUUUGCCUUUUUUCAUGUACUUUAUGAGUAAGGAUCGGCUAACUCCGUGCCAGCAGCCGCGGUAAUACGGAGGGUCCGAGCGUUAUCCGGAUUUAUUGGGUUUAAAGGGAGCGUAGAUGGGUUGUUAAGUCAGUUGUGAAAGUUUGCGGCUCAACCGGAAUAGUGCAAUUGAUACUGGCAGUCUUGAGUACAGUUGAGGUAGGCGGAAUUCGUGGUGUAGCGGUGAAAUGCUUAGAUAUCACGAAGAACCCCGAUUGCGAAGGCAGCUUACUAAACUGUGACUGACAUUGAUGCUCGAAAGUGUGGGUAUCAAACAGGAUUAGAUACCCUUGUAGUC
rnacentral:rRNA from 1 species